rnacentral:rRNA from 1 species
AGAGUUUGAUCAUGGCUCAGGACGAACGCUGGCGGCGUGCCUAAUACAUGCAAGUAGAACGCUGAAGAAAGGAGCUUGCUUCUUUUGGAUGAGUUGCGAACGGGUGAGUAACGCGUAGGUAACCUGCCUUGUAGCGGGGGAUAACUAUUGGAAACGAUAGCUAAUACCGCAUAACAGCUUUUGACACAUGUUAGAAGCUUGAAAGAUGCAAUUGCAUCACUACGAGAUGGACCUGCGUUGUAUUAGCUAGUAGGUAGGGUAACGGCCUACCUAGGCGACGAUACAUAGCCGACCUGAGAGGGUGAUCGGCCACAUUGGGACUGAGACACGGCCCAGACUCCUACGGGAGGCAGCAGUAGGGAAUCUUCGGCAAUGGGGGCAACCCUGACCGAGCAACGCCGCGUGAGUGAAGAAGGUUUUCGGAUCGUAAAGCUCUGUUGUAAGAGAAGAACGUGUGUGAGAGUGGAAAGUUCACACAGUGACGGUAACUUACCAGAAAGGGACGGCUAACUACGUGCCAGCAGCCGCGGUAAUACGUAGGUCCCGAGCGUUGUCCGGAUUUAUUGGGCGUAAAGCGAGCGCAGGCGGUUUAAUAAGUCUGAAGUUAAAGGCAGUGGCUUAACCAUUGUUCGCUUUGGAAACUGUUAAACUUGAGUGCAGAAGGGGAGAGUGGAAUUCCAUGUGUAGCGGUGAAAUGCGUAGAUAUAUGGAGGAACACCGGUGGCGAAAGCGGCUCUCUGGUCUGUAACUGACGCUGAGGCUCGAAAGCGUGGGGAGCAAACAGGAUUAGAUACCCUGGUAGUCCACGCCGUAAACGAUGAGUGCUAGGUGUUAGGCCCUUUCCGGGGCUUAGUGCCGCAGCUAACGCAUUAAGCACUCCGCCUGGGGAGUACGACCGCAAGGUUGAAACUCAAAGGAAUUGACGG